AUUGAACGCUGGCGGCAUGCCUUACACAUGCAAGUCGAACGGCAGCGGACCUUCGGGUGCCGGCGAGUGGCGAACGGGUGAGUAAUAUAUCGGAACGUACCUUUCAGUGGGGGAUAACGUAGCGAAAGUUACGCUAAUACCGCAUAUUCUGUGAGCAGGAAAGCAGGGGAUCGCAAGACCUUGCGCUGAUUGAGCGGCCGAUAUCAGAUUAGCUAGUUGGUGAGGUAAAGGCUCACCAAGGCGACGAUCUGUAGCGGGUCUGAGAGGAUGAUCCGCCACACUGGAACUGAGGCACGGUCCAGACUCCUACGGGAGGCAGCAGUGGGGAAUUUUGGACAAUGGGCGCAAGCCUGAUCCAGCCAUGCCGCGUGAGUGAAGAAGGCCUCGGUUGUAA
rnacentral:rRNA from 1 species